UGAUGCCUGAUUGGCAUUGCAUAUUCUUGCAGGAAGCUUUGGUUGGUGAGGCUUCAGGUGAAGAGCAACUUUUUUCUCCAAAAAAUAGCUUAGCUAGGGACAGAAUUGGUAGUGAGCUUGAGUAUUAUCAUGAAAAGAUCAAGGAGCAUUAUGGAGUAUCGUCUCAGGCUACUGAUGUGGGAUCAAGUCCUCUUGUACGUAGAUUUCAGGUGAUUGAUGCAUUAGUUAGCCUCUUCUGUCGUUCUAAUAUAUCUAUAGAG